AAAACUUAAUGAGAAGGUCUGGCUGCAGAAUGCUCUGGGGUCCAGUCCCUUGGCUGUAGGGAAUCUCCUAACACUGGUGAGCUGUGAGCAGAAGUGGCGAGAUGUCCUUCCAGGGACCAAGGCUCCGCAGCAGAGCCCUUGUCAUAUUCUGCAUUCCUCCUAAUCCCUGAGAUUCUGAUGCCAGCACCACUGGAGCAAUCUCUGUGUCCUUUUCCAAUCUGCAAAUGGAGUAGCUUAUUACCUGGGGAUGACUGACUCCUGCUGCUCAGAGAUUCUCUUGACUGCCAAGAGUUCCCACCACACUGACUGAAUGGACUUUGCUUGGAGUGACAGGCCCUGACUUCUAAGAUGAAGCAGGGCAGAACUGACAGGAACUAAGUGAGACAACAAUCAGCCUGUAUACUUAAUUAGUGCAAUUUCCCUCGAGUGGCUUGCUGCUUUUAGGCAUAGAUAUAAUCUGCUGUGCAUGACACCCAUAUCAUUGACAUUUGGAAUAAAAGGAGCUCUCACCAUUCUGUUUUGAAGCAGAUGGCACAGUCUUGGGUGCUACAAGAACUUGCAAAACUACUGGACUAAGACAAGGAAGAUGAAGAUUGGUGCUCAUUAGAAAGCCUCAUCUAACAGUGACUGCAAGUGCUCCUCAUUAA